UAAGAGGUCCAACCUGCCCAGUGACUAUAGGUUCAACGGCCGCGGUAUUUUAACCGUGCUAAGGUAGCGUAAUCACUUGUCUCUUAAAUGGAGACCUGUAUGAAUGGCAUCACGAGGGCUUAACUGUCUCCUCCUUCAGGUCAGUGAAAUUGAUCUCCCCGUGCAGAAGCGGGGAUGAAAACAUAAGACGAGAAGACCCCGUGGAGCUUUAGAUGCAAGAGCAGCGCAUGUAAUACACCCCUAAGCAAGGGUUAAAACUGAUGCACCCUGCCCUAAUGUCUUUGGUUGGGGCGACCGCGGAUCCAAUUUAACCUCCGCGUGGAAUGGGAGCAUAUAUUAACGACACCUACUCCUAAAACUAAGAGCUACAGCUCUAAGCAACAAAACUUUUGACCUAAGAAGAUCCGGCAACGCCGAUCAACGAACCGAGUUACCCCGGGGAUAACAGCGCAAUCCUCUUCUAGAGCCCUUAUCAACAAGAGGGUUUACGACCUCGAUGUUGGAUCAGGACAUCCUAAUGGUGCAACCGCUAUUAAGGGUUCGUUUGUUCAACG
rnacentral:rRNA from 1 species